rnacentral:rRNA from 1 species
CACGGGGGGAGCAAGCGUUGUUCGGAAUCACUGGGCGUAAAGGGCGUGUAGGCGGUCAAGUAAGUGGAAUGUGAAAGCCCCCGGCUUACCCGGGGAUCUGCAUCCCAAACUGCUUGGCUUGAGUACGGGAGAGGAUAGGGGAAUUCCUGGUGUAGCGGUGAAAUGCGUAGAUAUCAGGAGGAACACCGGUGGCGAAGGCGCCUAUCUGGCCCGAUACUGGCGCUGAGGCGCGAAAGCUAGGGGAGCAAACGGG